CAGGCCUUGACAUCCCUAUGACGCAGGAGUAAUAUUCUGUUCCCUUCGGGGCAUAGGAGACAGGUGGUGCAUGGUUGUCGUCAGCUCGUGUCGUGAGAUGUUGGGUCAAGUCCCGCAACGAGCGCAACCCCUGUUCUCAGUAGCCAGCAGGUAAAGCUGGGCACUCUGAGGAGACUGCCGGGGAUAACCCGGAGGAAGGCGGGGAGGACGUCAAAUCAUCAUGCCCCUUAUGGUCUGGGCUACACACGUGCUACAAUGGCGCGGACAAAGGGAAGCGAGCGCGCGAGCGUAAGCGAAGCCCAAAAACAGCGUCCCAGUUCGGACUGCAGCCUGCAACUCGGCUGCAGGAAGCCGGAAUCGCUAGUAAUCGCGGAUCAGAAUGCCGCGGUGAAUACGUUCCC
rnacentral:rRNA from 1 species